ACCUGUAAAAUCUACAUUUUUUUUUUUUAUCUUAAACUGAAAUCAGGAGUUUACCACUAAAUAAAAGCACAACUAAUCUUAAGUCUGCAUAACAAAAACUGUACAUACUGCUUUGCUUAAAUUAUGCGUAGCUUUGUAGACUGUAUUCAUUUUUGUUGUUUUUGUUUAAGAUGACAUCUACUAACAAAAACAUAUUAACUUCUGGAACAGGAGAGAACAGAUGUGGAGCAAAACACGAGCAACCAUGAUCCAAACGAAGGGACAGAAGCUCACCUAGAUCUAGAGGAGGUGAGCGGCCAAUCUAAUUCUGGCAAACAGGAAGCAGAACAAACCGAACAACUCCAACAAACUCCAGGCCAAGGUGGCACUGAUAUGACAUCUGACAAUACAGAGAAUCUGCGCAACACAUCCAGCCCUGACUCCCAGAAUGCAGAGCAGGUUGAUGGAGAAGAGAUGGAUAAACCUGAAAACUCUGUCCAAGAGGAGGCCUCCUCCACUGUGCAGAGCAUGGAGAUUCCAACAGAGAAGACAUUUCCAACUGAAGAACAAGAAGAAACCAUGACAGCUGAUGAACAGGAG